AGAGUUUGAUCAUGGCUCAGGAUGAACGCUAGCGGCAGUAACACAUGCAAGUCGAGGGGUAUAGGUUUUCGGACCUAGAGACCGGCGCACGGGUGCGUAACGCGUAUGCUCUACCUUUUACAGAGGGAUAGCCCAGAGAAAUUUGGAUUAAUACCUCAUAGUAUUACGACUCGGCAUCGAGAUGUAAUUAAAGUCACAACGGUAAAAGAUGAGCAUGCGUCCCAUUAGCUUGUUGGUAAGGUAACGGCUUACCAAGGCAACGAUGGGUAGGGGUCCUGAGAGGGAGAUCCCCCACACUGGUACUGAGACACGGACCAGACUCCUACGGGAGGCAGCAGUGAGGAAUAUUGGUCAAUGGGCGCAAGCCUGAACCAGCCAUGCCGCAUGCAGGAUGAAGCAUCUAUGGUGUGUAAACUGCUUUUGUACGAGAAGAAACACUCCUUCGUGAAGGAGCUUGACGGUAUCGUAAGAAUAAGGACCGGCUAACUCCGUGCCAGCAGCCGCGGUAAUACGGAGGGUCCAAGCGUUAUCCGGAAUCAUUGGGUUUAAAGGGUCCGUAGGCGGUUUUGUAAGUCAGUGGUGAAAGCCCAUCGCUCAACGGUGGAACGGCCAUUGAUACUGCAAGACUUGAAUUAUUGGGAAGCAACUAGAAUAUGUAGUGUAGCGGUGAAAUGCUUAGAUAUUACAUGGAAUACCAAUUGCGAAGGCAGGUUGCUACCAAUACAUUGACGCUGAUGGACGAAAGCGUGGGGAGCGAACAGGAUUAGAUACCCUAGUAGUCC
rnacentral:rRNA from 1 species